UUAGAGUUUGAUCCUGGCUCAGGAUGAACGCUAGCGGCAGGCUUAACACAUGCAAGUCGAGGGGCAGCGAGAUCAGUGCUUGCACUGAUUGUCGGCGACCGGCGCACGGGUGCGUAACGCGUAUGCAACCUACCCAUUACAGGGGGAUAACACUGAGAAAUCGGUACUAAUACCCCAUAACAUCCAGGGAGGCAUCUUCUUGGGUUGAAAACUCCGGUGGUAAUGGAUGGGCAUGCGUUGUAUUAGUUAGUUGGUGGGGUAACGGCUCACCAAGACAACGAUACAUAGGGGGACUGAGAGGUUAACCCCCCACAUUGGUACUGAGACACGGACCAAACUCCUACGGGAGGCAGCAGUGAGGAAUAUUGGUCAAUGGGCGCAAGUCUGAACCAGCCAUGCCGCGUGCAGGAAGACGGCUCUAUGAGUUGUAAACUGCUUUUGUACGAGGGUAAACGCAGAUACGCGUAUCUGUCUGAAAGUAUCGUACGAAUAAGGAUCGGCUAACUCCGUGCCAGCAGCCGCGGUAAUACGGAGGAUUCAAGCGUUAUCCGGAUUUAUUGGGUUUAAAGGGUGCGUAGGCGGUCGGAUAAGUUAGAGGUGAAAUCCCGGGGCUCAACUUCGGAAUUGCCUCUGAUACUGUUCGGCUAGAGAGUAGUUGCGGUAGGCGGAAUGUAUGGUGUAGCGGUGAAAUGCUUAGAGAUCAUACAGAACACCGAUUGCGAAGGCAGCUUACCAAGCUACUUCUGACGUUGAGGCACGAAAGCGUGGGGAGCAAACAGGAUUAGAUACCCUGGUAGUCCACGCAGUAAACGAUGAUAACUCGUUGUCGGCGAUACAGUGUCGGUGACUAAGCGAAAGCGAUAAGUUAUCCACCUGGGGAGUACGUUCGCAAGAAUGAAACUCAAAGGAAUUGACGGGGGCCCGCACAAGCGGAGGAACAUGUGGUUUAAUUCGAUGAUACGCGAGGAACCUUACCCGGGCUUGAAAGUUAGUGACGGAUCUUGAAAGAGGUCUUCCCUUCGGGGCACGAAACUAGGUGCUGCAUGGUUGUCGUCAGCUCGUGCCGUGAGGUGUCGGGUUAAGUCCCAUAACGAGCGCAACCCCUACCGUUAGUUGCCAGCAGGUCAAGCUGGGCACUCUGACGGGACUGCCGGUGUAAGCCGAGAGGAAGGUGGGGAUGACGUCAAAUCAGCACGGCCCUUACGUCCGGGGCUACACACGUGUUACAAUGGCAGGUACAGAGGGCAGCUACCCAGCGAUGGGAUGCGAAUCUCGAAAGCCUGUCUCAGUUCGGAUUGGAGGCUGAAACCCGCCUCCAUGAAGUUGGAUUCGCUAGUAAUCGCGCAUCAGCCAUGGCGCGGUGAAUACGUUCCCGGGCCUUGUACACACCGCCCGUCA
rnacentral:rRNA from 1 species